rnacentral:rRNA from 1 species
UACAGAGGCCCCGAGCGUUUAUCCGGAAUCAUUGGGCGUAAAGGGUGUCGAGGCGGUCAUGUUAGUCUUCCGUAAAAUCCAGGAGCUCAACUUCUGGCCCGCGGGAGAAACGGCAUGACUUGAGGUUGGAAGAGGUGCGUGGAACUCACGGUGUAGGGGUGAAAUCCGUUGAUAUCGUGGGGAACACCAAAGGCGAAGGCAGCGCACUGGUCCAAAUCUGACGCUCACACACGAAAAGCCAGGGUAGCGAAUGGG